CCGACCCGACCUUGACACCAACCCUAACCCUAACCGUAUCCUUAACCUAAACUCUAAUAGAAACCCUAACCCUAAUACUAACCCAAUCCUUAGUCCUCAUCACAUCAAUUGUAACCCUAACCCUAACCUGACCUGACCUAACCCCAACUGAAUCCCUAAUACCCAAAACUUGUAGACCAAUAAGCCGAAUCCAAAAUCCUGGACCUCAAACCUACUAACCAAAAUCCUAUAACCCAUAGAUUCAAAUUUGAUAACUCAAAUCUUUACUAUUUUAUUUU
rnacentral:lncRNA from 1 species